AUUGAACGCUGGCGGCAUGCUUUACACAUGCAAGUCGGACGGCAGCACAGAGAAGCUUGCUUCUUGGGUGGCGAGUGGCGAACGGGUGAGUAAUAUAUCGGAACGUACCGAGUAAUGGGGGAUAACUAAUCGAAAGAUUAGCUAAUACCGCAUAUUCUCUGAGGCGGAAAGCAGGGGACCUUCGGGCCUUGCGUUAUUCGAGCGGCCGAUAUCUGAUUAGCUAGUUGGUGGGGUAAAGGCCUACCAAGGCGACGAUCAGUAGCGGGUCUGAGAGGAUGAUCCGCCACACUGGGACUGAGACACGGCCCAGACUCCUACGGGAGGCAGCAGUGGGGAAUUUUGGACAAUGGGCGCAAGCCUGAUCCAGCCAUGCCGCGUGUCUGAAGAAGGCCUUCGGGUUGUAAAGGACUUUUGUCAGGGAAGAAAAGGCUGUUGCUAAUACCGACAGCUGAUGACGGUACCUGAAGAAUAAGCACCGGCUAACUACGUG
rnacentral:rRNA from 1 species